rnacentral:rRNA from 1 species
GAUGAACGCUGGCGGCGUGCUUAACACAUGCAAGUCGAACGGAAAGGCCCUGCUUUUGUGGGGUGCUCGAGUGGCGAACGGGUGAGUAACACGUGAGUAACCUGCCCUUGACUUUGGGAUAACUUCAGGAAACUGGGGCUAAUACCGGAUAGGAGCUCCUGCUGCAUGGUGGGGGUUGGAAAGUUUCGGCGGUUGGGGAUGGACUCGCGGCUUAUCAGCUUGUUGGUGGGGUAGUGGCUUACCAAGGCUUUGACGGGUAGCCGGCCUGAGAGGGUGACCGGCCACAUUGGGACUGAGGUACGGCCCAGACUCCUACGGGGGGCAGCAGUGGGGAAUAUUGCACAGUGGGCGGAAGCCUGAUGCAGCAGCGCCGCGUGCGGGAUGACGGCCUUCGGGUUGUAAACCGCUUUCGCCUGUGACGAAGCGUGAGUGACGGUAAUGGGUAAAGAAGCACCGGCUAACUACGUG